rnacentral:rRNA from 1 species
UACAGAGGUCUCAACCGUUGUUCGGAUUCAUUGGGCGUAAAGGGUGCGUAGGUGGUCGCGUAAGUCGGAUGUGAAAUCCCGGGGCUCAACCUCGGAACUGCACUCGAUACUGCGCGGCUAGGGUACUGGAGAGGAGACUGGAAUUUACGGUGUAGCAGUGAAAUGCGUAGAUAUCGUAAGGAAGACCAGUGGCGAAGGCGAGUCUCUGGACAGUUACCGACACUGAGGCACGAAGGCCAGGGGAGCAAACGGG